GGCCAGUAUUCAAGCCUUGAUUUGUACAGAAAGCUGUUACUUGUGGUGAGCUGAUUGUUAAAUUCACCAGAAUUCUGUAUUGUGUUCUGUUUCUUAAGAUGGCUUUAGCCUCGAGUUUAAACAAGCUAGGUACUUCUUCCUUUACUUCUGUAUUCCAGUUUUGUAUUUCUAGAAAAGAACUGGAUGGUGGGAUUGGCUAUGGGCAGACACAUACCCUUGGGCCUACCAAGAAGCCUGCAGGUGAUGCAGGGGUGGCAGGUCCCUGGACCAGAUGCCGAGGAGCAGGUGUCUGAAGUACAUUCAAAGGAACAUUUCUCUGCUUAGGCAGAAUCUAAUGCAGCAGGGGCAUAAAGGCGAUUCACACAUUGAUUAAUCCACUGUCACCAUCAGAAUAAAAACCAAACACCCAUCAGAUUGACAAAAUGCAAAUGAUUGAAAACAAUUUGUGCUUCUCUAGGUUCAUAGUCAGCGGAGCUUCAUACGCAGCUAGUGAGGGUGCGGCUUGCUUGGACAUUGUUUAGUUAGUAAAAAUCAUUCUCAAUUUUCAAAGGUUUUAUUUUUUAACAAUAGCAAAAGAAUUUAAAAUGAAGAGAUGAACAGUGAACAGGCAUAAGAGCAUAAUAAAACUGCCAAAAUCAUAAUGCAGCAUUGUUCAUAGAAAUUAAGUUGCUUAGAAAGUAUUGCCACAAAAAGAACAAUUAAACAACAAGAAAGAAAUAUCUACCACCCUAACUAAUAAGUGAAUUUAACAAAAUGUCAAUGACAAGGUCAUUGUACAAAAAUUUAAUACAUUCCUAUAUACUACCAGUGACCAAUCGAAAAUGGAAUAAAGAAUACCAUUUACAGUAUAAGCUAAAAAUAUCAAAUAUCAAGAAAUCUUAUGAACAAUCUAUACAGUGAAAACUAUAAAAACAUAUCCGAGAGAAAUUAAUGAAGGCUUAAAUAAAAUCAGAGGUGCAGCUCAUCCAUGAAUUAAAAGACUUGAUCCCCAAAUCAAAAUCCUGGGAGUUUUGGGGUUUUUUUAAGAAUUGACAACAUGAUUCUAAAAUUUAUACGGAAUGCGAAGAGCUUAAACAGCCAAAACAAUAUUGAAAAAAACAAAGUGAGGAGACUUACACUCCCCCAAUUCAAGACUUACCACAAAGUCACAGUAGUCAGGAUGGUACGUAAUGGUGUGAAGGUAUGCACAUCAAUCGAGGGAAUAAAUAGAGUCCCAGCAACAAUCCACCUUACUACCUUGUCAGUUCAAUGGGGGAGGGAAACAGCUUUCAAACAAAAUCUCAGGUAGGUUGAUUGAAAGCUCAAUACAAAAUGCAUGCAUAUGGUGUGAUUUGGUGUGUAUGAAGUACAAGACUAAUCUACAGUGACUAAUUUAUGUUUGCCCCUGGGGAAGGAGGGAUGGAUUGUCAAGGCGCAUGAGAACUCUUUCUGGAAUUCUGUGUCUUGUUCUCAGUGGUGGAUUCACAGGUUUUUGCCCUUUUUGAAACUCAUUGAACAGAACACUGAAGAUGAUCUGUGCGUUUUAUCGUAAGUUACACCUCCAUUAACAGAAAACCUCACAGACUCGAGCCAGGCAGACGGUGCAUAAGGGAAGCAGCAGGAAACCACGAACACGGUGAUGGGGCGGUGAGCCCCACCGGAAGCCGUGGCCAUUGCUCUGUCCCAGGCACGUGCUGCAGUGUGGGAACUGACUGGCUGACCUUCUGAGCUUUUCCAAAAAGCCUGAAGUCUUCAUUUUCAUGUCAUAUCUCUUGAUUUUAGAAACACUAAACACUGUUUUUUUAAAAAAAAAAAAAAACUAAACUAAAUAUUGCAAUUGAGGAAGUGUUUAAGCUCUCUCUAGGUACUAUUGAACAGGAUUUUUUUUCUAGUAUAAGUUAAUGCAAAUAUUAGCAAAUCUUUUCAUGUCACUUAAUCUUGGUUAUGGUUGACAUAAACAGCACUUUGUCAGCUCUGUUCGUUGAGGAUUUAUUACACUGUAGCCACUGGGGUAAGUGAUUGAAAGGCCAAGAGCUCAUUUAUUCUUUAUUCUUUGUGACAACUGAUUUUGAGGAAGAUAUUGCUAGGUAAUGACAGACGGCAUCUAACCCAGGGGUUUUUUUACUAUAAAUCUUAUGCUUUGAACCUGACUACUUUGGGAGCAACAUCGAGGAGCAGGCUUACUCCUUGGGUCAGUUUGGAUAAACUGCAGGCAUCAGAGUUUUGUAUAUUAGGGUACAGUGAUCAAUUUUAGAUGCCUGUGGCUCAGAUCCUUGUCUCCUAAUUGCAUGAAUACCAUAAAAAUUGAAACUUGAACUUGUUCACUAGUUACAUUAUUGUACUAGAAAUAGUUUUAUUUUAGCUCUUCAGCUUGGAAUUAUUUUUAUUAAUGAAGUUGAUGCACCAAAAUGCACUAUAAGAUACUCAUCAUUGCGUUUAUUUGUCUAACAAGCAUUUUAGUGUCUUAUGUGCCAGGAGUGCUAUGAGGUACUAGAGAUAAAGAAAUGAUAAGACAGUCCCUGUGGCCAGGGAACUUCAGGACACGAAAAGAUUAUAUUUAGAUUAAAAUAAUUUAUAUUGCAACACUGGUUUCAAGACUUAGCUUGUAAUUAAUGUUAGAUUUGCUAUCUAAAAUUGAAAAGAUUAUUAUCAUGAUUUACUUCAGUUUCUUUGAAAGAAACUGAAUCUGAUGUUUUUGUACCUAUAAAUGAUUCAUUCUGGAAAUAUUUGCUGAGUAACUACGGUAUGUCUGGUCCUGCGUGGUUUCCAGGAAAUGUAGUGUUAAAGCAAAUACUAGCUUUCCCUCAUGGAAUUUGCUAUCAGGAUAAUUUGUUGACUGAUCUCGAAGUUCCUUUUUUUAAGUACUAAGUGCUGAGCUAUCUGUCUCACGUUAUUCUCUCUCCUGUUUUCAUUUGUUUGUUUUAUCUCUUAGUGUCUGUUGGUGUAUUCAUUAGUAAGCCACGGACACAUAGCAGGAAGAAAAACAAAGCACUGAGUACCAUUACUUUGCAAAGCAGUAAUGAAACACUAAGAAAUAUCAACCCUU